GAUGAACGCUGGCGGCGUGCCUAAUACAUGCAAGUCGAGCGAACAGACGAGGAGCUUGCUCCUCUGACGUUAGCGGCGGACGGGUGAGUAACACGUGGAUAACCUACCUAUAAGACUGGGAUAACUUCGGGAAACCGGAGCUAAUACCGGAUAAUAUAUUGAACCGCAUGGUUCAAUAGUGAAAGACGGUUUUGCUGUCACUUAUAGAUGGAUCCGCGCCGCAUAAGCUAGUUGGUAAGGUAACGGCUUACCAAGGCAACGAUGCGUAGCCGACCUGAGAGGGUGAUCGGCCACACUGGAACUGAGACACGGUCCAGACUCCUACGGGAGGCAGCAGUAGGGAAUCUUCCGCAAUGGGCGAAAGCUUGACGGAGCAACGCCGCGUGAGUGAUGAAGGUCUUCGGAUCGUAAAACUCUGUUAUUAGGGAAGAACAAAUGUGUAAGUAACUAUGCACGUCUUGACGGUACCUAAUCAGAAAGCCACGGCUAACUACGUG
rnacentral:rRNA from 1 species